GCCCAGCAGUAAACUUUUAUUUACACCUAAAUCGCCAGGGAACUACGAGCUAAGCUUAAAACCCAAAGGACUUGACGGUACCCCAUAUCCCCCUAGAGGAGCCUGUCCUAUAAUCGAUAAUCCACGUUUAACCUCACCAUUUCUAGUUUCUCAGCCUGUAUACCUCCGUCGUCAGCUUACCACGUGAGCGUUAAUUAGUGAGCCCAAUGUUUUUUCACCAACACGUCAGGUCAAGGUGCAGCAAAUGAAAUGGGAAGAGAUGGGCUACACUUUCUAUAUUAGAAAAAACGAAAAACUAUUUAUGAAAUCUAGUUAGAAGGCGGAUUUAGCAGUAAAAAGGAAUCAGAAUGUUCAUUUUAACCCGGCACUGGGGUGUGUACACACCGCCCGUCACCCUCUUCAAAGCUUCUAACCUAGUCCUUAACAAAAUUAAGCACAACAGAAGAGGCAAGUCGUAACAUGGUAAGUAUACCGGAAGGUGUGCUUGGAAA
rnacentral:rRNA from 1 species